rnacentral:lncRNA from 1 species
GUUAUUAGCGGUGUAACUUCCCAUACUCAGAUGCCGGGCCAGAUCACAAUGCGCUCCUUUUCUUCCGACAUGUUGUGCGUUCAUGCACUAAAUACCACAACAUACUUGGAAAGUUUGAUGGCACUGACUGCUUAAUAAUUGUUAUUAAAGAAGUUUGAAGAGGAUUACUUCUUUGUUGCCUGAUUCUCUGACCGGAAUCAAUGUCCAUAUUUGUCCGCCAGUAGAACUGUAAAUUUACUCCGUUGACAGAGGUAUAGUACCCCGUCACA